AUUGAACGCUGGCGGCAGGCUCAACACAUGCAAGUCGAGCGGGGUGAUGGUGCUUGCACUAUCACUUAGCGGCGGACGGGUGAGUAAUGCUUAGGAAUCUGCCUAUUAGUGGGGGACAACAUCUCGAAAGGGAUGCUAAUACCGCAUACGUCCUACGGGAGAAAGCAGGGGAUCACUUGUGACCUUGCGCUAAUAGAUGAGCCUAAGUCGGAUUAGCUAGUUGGUGGGGUAAAGGCCUACCAAGGAGACGAUCUGUAGCGGGUCUGAGAGGAUGAUCCGCCACACUGGGACUGGAACACGGCCCAGACUCCUACGGGAGGCAGCAGUGGGGAAUAUUGGACAAUGGGGGGAACCCUGAUCCAGCCAUGCCGCGUGUGUGAAGAAGGCCUUAUGGUUGUAAAGCACUUUAAGCGAGGAGGAGGCUCUUUUGGUUAAUACCCAAGAUGAGUGGACGUUACUCGCAGAAUAAGCACCGGCUAACUCUGUGCCAGCAGCCGCCGUAA
rnacentral:rRNA from 1 species